rnacentral:rRNA from 1 species
CCUACGGGAGGCAGCAGUGAGGAAUAUUGGUCAAUGGCCGGAAGGCUGAACCAGCCAUGCCGCGUGAAGGUCAGUGCCCUAUGGGCGUUAAACUUCUUUUGUGCGGGAGCAAUAAUGGUCACGUGUGGCCAGACGAGAGUACCGUACGAAUAAGCAUCGGCUAACUCCGUGCCAGCAGCCGCGGUAAUACGGGGGAUGCAAGCGUUAUCCGGAUUUAUUGGGUUUAAAGGGUGCGUAAGCUGUGAGGUAAGUCAGCGGUGAAAUGCCGCCGCUCAACGGGGUGAAGUGCCAUUGAUACUGCCUGGCUGGAAUGCGGAUGCCGUGGGAGGAAUGUGUGGUGUAGCGGUGAAAUGCAUAGAUAUCACACAGAACACCGAUUGCGAAGGCAUCUCACGAAUCCGCGAUUGACGCUGAUGCACGAAAGCGUGGGUAUCAAACAGGAUUAGAUACCCCUGUAGUC